AUGAAUUUAUGUUACUGUAAGCACCUGUAAAAUUGAUGUUUUUCAGUAUGCUUAAUAUGCCUUUUGUUUCUGUAUGAAUUUACUCCAUGUACCAGAAUGCUUUGUAAUUUACUUGUUUCUGUUAUUUCCAACAUUCUAUACAUGUGCACCAAUCAACUGUCUUUGUUUGUUUUGCUUUUAUUUGAAUUGUUUAAGCAGCCAAUCAUUAUCUGUUAUUUGUUUAUGCCCGUGAAAUUGCGGUGAAACUGAAGGUUCCAUCACCUCAGUGAGGAGAAGGCUCGUGAGUUCCAGUCUGCCUGGAGUAAAGAGGUCACUGUUUCUCCUGCUCCGCCUGUCAGUGCUGGUUCGUGGAGACUUAGAGGUGCUUUUAUGUACCCCGGCCCACGAACGGUGAACUGUGCGAGUGGGUCACGUUCAUUGUGAUCAGUUUGGAGUGGACUGGCUUCGUGUCUCUCGUCGGGUUGUUGUUCAACUUGAGCUUACUGUUUUGCUAGUGCUACAGGUCGUUAGCUACUAGCUACUCUAGCUCUUGUUGCAGUUUUUCUUCAGAGACGAACUCGUUUAUACCUCCGGUGCUGGACCCACCGGAGCUACCCGACCCUCUGAAGGACGACUGUUACCUCCGGUGCUGGGCCCACCGGAGCUAUACCUCCCUCAGGACGACUGCUUCUCCGCUGGUGCUGAGCCCACCGGAGGACAAACCGCCCUGCUACUGCUGGUGUCGCUGCUACGUUGGCUAGCUCAAGGCAGCUGCUUGCCUCCCGUCUGCGCCUGGACAACGGUCGUCGGUUUGGCUGAGUGGAGUGAAACUGUUCGUUCCCCUCAGGCUCUUCCUAAGGAUACCUCCACUGAUGAAGGUACACCAUCAACUUCAUCGUGCAUUCAUGAGGAAGAAGCUGACAUUGGAUUUUAUGAGGGCUCCUUCAACUGUCCAGGUCAAAGUCGGUCUGUCCUGAUGGUACUACCUGCUACUUGAUGAUGUCUGGUAUUCAUCGCUGCUGCCUUCAACGUGGUAGCCCUCACAAAUAAACUGAUAUCAAGAAUUAACAUAGUUGGUGAUGGUGGCAGGGUGCCUUCAAAAGGUGCCAUCCAGCAGUCCCAGGCUGGAGCCAGUGGCUGGUACUGCAUGUCAGAUGGGGGAUGAUAGGUGGUGUAAGCAAGAAGGCAAG